UAGGGAAUAUUGGUUAAUGUGCGAAAGCGCGAACCAGCAACGCCGCGUGCACGAUGAAGGCCUUCGGGUUGUAAAGUGCUUUUUGAGGGGAUGAGGAAGGACAGUACCCUCAGAAUAAGUCUCGGCCAACUACGUGCCAGCAGCCGCGGUAACACGUAGGAGACGAGCGUUAUCCGGAUUUACUGGGCGUAAAGCGCGUGCAGGCGGUUCAGCAAGUUGGAUGUGAAAGCUCCCGGCUUAACUGGGAGAGGUCGUUCAAAACUACUGAACUUGAGAGUGGUAGAGGGAGGUGGAAUUCCGGGUGUAGUGGUGAAAUGCGUAGAUAUCCGGAGGAACACCAGUGGCGAAAGCGGCCUCCUGGACCAUUUCUGACGCUCAGACGCGAAAGCUAGGGUAGCGA
rnacentral:rRNA from 1 species